rnacentral:rRNA from 1 species
ACCACCACCGGCGAACCAGUAGUCCCCGCGGAAACGCCGCUCGCGGCGCGCGGCCCGGGGGACGACCCGGGGACGCGCGUCCCGGCGAGCUCCGAACAAAACCCUCUGGGCGCGGCGAGCGCCAAGGAAUCGAAGCGGAAAGGGCGGCCUCCCCGCCCGGUGCUGGCACGCGCCGAAAGGGGAUGCGGCACCGCGGUCGGGGGAUCCGCCGCCCGUCUGUGAAGCCUCUUAGACGACUCUCGGCAACGGAUAUCUCGGCUCUCGCAUCGAUGAAGAACGUAGCGAAAUGCGAUACUUGGUGUGAAUUGCAGAAUCCCGUGAACCAUCGAGUCUUUGAACGCAAGUUGCGCCCGAGGCCGCUCGGCCGAGGGCACGCCUGCCUGGGCGUCACGCCACCCAUCGCCCCCCCGCGGCAUUCCCAUGCCCCGCCGGGGAGCGGAGACUGGCCGUCCGUGCCCGAGGGAUCGGCGCGCGGUCGGCGGAAAAGGAAGGCACCGUGCGGCGCGACACGGCGUGUGGGGGUUGAGAGGCGAUCCGUCGCCGAUCGUACGUCGCGCCCGCAUUCCGCCGCGCGGUGCGGCCAGUGGGACCAGACUUCGCCCGCUGCCGCGGGCGCUCGGACCGCGACCCCAGG